AUUGAACGCUGGCGGCAUGCCUUACACAUGCAAGUCGAACGGUGACAGGUCUUCGGAUGCUGACGAGUGGCGAACGGGUGAGUAAUACAUCGGAACGUGCCCGAUCGUGGGGGAUAACGAAGCGAAAGCUUUGCUAAUACCGCAUACGAUCUACGGAUGAAAGCGGGGGAUCUUCGGACCUCGCGCGGACGGAGCGGCCGAUGGCAGAUUAGGUAGUUGGUGGGAUAAAAGCUUACCAAGCCGACGAUCUGUAGCUGGUCUGAGAGGAUGAUCAGCCACACUGGGACUGAGACACGGCCCAGACUCCUACGGGAGGCAGCAGUGGGGAAUUUUGGACAAUGGGCGCAAGCCUGAUCCAGCCAUGCCGCGUGCAGGAUGAAGGCCUUCGGGUUGUAAACUGCUUUUGUACGGAACGAAAAGGUGCCUUCUAAUAAAGGGCGCUCAUGACGGUACCGUAAGAAUAAGCACCGGCUAACUACGUG
rnacentral:rRNA from 1 species